rnacentral:rRNA from 1 species
AUGCUCGCAGGAGAGGAGCCCAACAAGCAACGGCAGCAAGGGAGCCUACACAUCAGCGACCUGGGCAACAGCGUUUGCAACCUCCUGGGCGGCCUUCUUCUUGUUCUUCUACGCCUUCUUCUGGGUGAUAUCCUUGGCGUGCGCUACCAGUCCAGCAAUAGCCUGGACCACGGGGGCCGCGAGCGGGGUGUUGAACAAGUCAAGGUAGGCCUGCUUAGCCUUGUCGUCGUAUCCAACAGACGGGUCCAGUACACCACAGACCUUGGCAAUGAGCUCCUGGACCGCCUCUGUAGCAACCCCGGGCGGGGCUUUUGCCUUCUUCUUGUCGAGCCGGGCGCUACGACGAGCGGGCGCGACCGGCACGCCCCCCUUGCCCCUACGGGUGGCCGGAGUAGACAGCAACGGGGCGGGCGGCUCCCCGGCGAGGAAAGACUCCAGGGGGUUCCCAAUCGGAGGCACGUCCGUAGCAUCUGCCGGGGCAACAAUGACGACGGGUUCAGGGCAGGCAUCUGCCGGCAGCGUGAGAGCUCCGAUCGGGUCGGUGGCGUCCGCCCCAGGCUCGAUGACGACGGUGGGGGGGGGGGACGCGGCGACGAGGAUCUCCGCCGGGCCACUCCCAGCUGCAAUGACCGAGUGGACAGCGACCGGCUCAGGCCUGAUCACGAGGGCGGCGGAGAGAGGCGCAGCGACAAGAAGCCCGACAGGGUCACCCCUAGCGUCGCACAUCGCGCGGCCAGCGUCGACAGGCCGGGCCAGAGGCGAAGCAUCACCGGUCGGUGGCGAAUAAGGGGCGGACCAGGCUUCAACCCCCGGCGUGUCGAGGCUCCGCACGUCCGGGGACAGGGCGAGUCCCGCAAAGCAGGCCGACAGCGUAGGCAGGGCGGCCACCGCCGAACCCGCCUCCACCACGCCAACAGCCGCGCCAGCCAGCAAGGAUGGGCUGGCCGGGCCGCCAGCGGUCGAACCGAGCUUGACAAAGGCACCCUCCACCCUUUCAGCAAGGCCGGCCAGCCGCCGACGCAUGGCAGAGAAUUCCGAGCGCAGCGGAGCGAGCGCGGUGUCGAUAGCCGCCGACAGCUCGGACCGAAGUAG